AUUUCUGUAUUUAGGUUGAGUGAAGCAGAGACUAACCAGGGUCAUCAGCAUUCAUGGAAGAAAGUGCCUCAGUGGUAUUUGUGAAAUGAUCAAGUUGCAUAUACAGAAGAAGAAUAAAGGAAUAUGGCUAGAUCCAUGGGGAACUUCUAUUAUUUUCCUAUUUUCUACACCUAAUUCAAUUGCUUCAGUUUUGGCCCAACCAUCUCCUGAAUUAACUGUAUACUUUCUACUCUGUCUUUCUGCAUCUUGUCAUUCUCUUCUCUAGUUCAUUUUCCACAUGACCUCUGUAUUGACAUAUUAAAAGUAGAUCACUUUUCAUAUCACAAACCUAAAUAAAUCUUUGUUUCCUUUUUAUUCACAGAAGAAA
rnacentral:lncRNA from 1 species